GGACUACAGGGGUUUCUAAUCCUGUUUGCUACCCACGCUUUCGCGGCUCAGCGUCAGUUACCGUCCAGAUGGCCGCCUUCGCCACCGGUGUUCCGCCCCAUAUCUACGAAUUUCACCUCUACUUGGGGCAUUCCGCCAUCCUCUCCGGCACUCAAGCUCGAGAGUUUCGGGCGCACUUCCUCAGUUAAGCUGAGGGCUUUCACACCCGACUUUUCAAGCCGCCUACCCGCGCUUUACGCCCAAUAAUUCCGAACAACGCUUGCACCCUCUGUAUUACCGCGGCUGCUGGCAC
rnacentral:rRNA from 1 species